GGGGGAAUAUUGGGCAAUGGGCGCAAGCCUGACCCAGCAACGCCGCGUGAAGGAAGAAGGCUUUCGGGUUGUAAACUUCUUUUCUCAGGGACGAAGCAAGUGACGGUACCUGAGGAAUAAGCCACGGCUAACUACGUGCCAGCAGCCGCGGUAAUACGUAGGUGGCAAGCGUUAUCCGGAUUUACUGGGUGUAAAGGGCGUGUAGGCGGGGAAGCAAGUCAGAUGUGAAAACCAUGGGCUCAACUCAUGGCCUGCAUUUGAAACUGUUUUUCUUGAGUACUGGAGAGGCAGACGGAAUUCCUAGUGUAGCGGUGAAAUGCGUAGAUAUUAGGAGGAACACCAGUGGCGAAGGCGGUCUGCUGGACAGCAACUGACGCUGAGGCGCGAAAGCGUGGGGAGCAAACAGGAUUAGAUACCC
rnacentral:rRNA from 1 species